ensembl:miRNA gmo-mir-11213 gmo-mir-11213
UAUGAACCUUGCACUGGAAGAAUGGUUGAGUUUUGAGUUUCCUUCCAUGUGACUCGUGUCAGA